CAACAAGAGCAGUGGCAGUAUCUUAGCCCAUGAGGUUAAACCAAGGCGUGAUUAUUGCUAGUUGAAAACUUUACCCAUAAAACAACCC
rnacentral:snRNA from 1 species